rnacentral:lncRNA from 1 species
GAUAUAACUGGAACUCUGGGAAUGUAACGGGCAUGGUGUGCUUGUCUGAUGGACAGGGCAGCUUAGGGGAAUAAGUCUCUGCAGCGUUGUAGUGAAGAGAGAAUACGGGACAACUGCAGGACCACAGCUCAGCCAAGAGUAAGCAUAAAUUUAAACAUAUUUCUUGAUUUCUCUAAAGUCUCUCUUUUCUGUUAAAUACAAAUAAUAAUGCAUGCUUCAUUCAGCAAGUUAUUGUGAGGACUAAAUGAGACAGUAUUGAAGUUACUAUGUAACAGUAAAUAAGGUACAGAUAAAUGUUUACAGGAGGACAAAUAAACUCCCCUCUUGAUAAUAUUAAUCCUCUUUUAUAACAUAUCUGGAUUUGUGUCACUUUUCUAUUCUCCUUUUACCAUGAGUGAGAAGAGAGAAGAAUAAAAGGGAUACCAAAAUAUAGGGACUGUGAAAUAUUGAAAGCUGAGGAUUGGGAAUUCAUAGAAACUAUUUCUCUGGAUACUAUUUUUUCUUACAGCACAACCACAUGACUGAAGACAGAGAUCAUCUGGGUCAGUGUUUCAGAAAAUGUUGCCAAGAAACUUCAAAUGCAGAUUCCUGGACCUCCGUGCAAACUACUAUAUUAGAAGUGAGAGUGGGGGUGAGAUGGAGGAGAGGUGAUAUUGAGAACCUGCAUUUUUUAAAACUUUUAUUUUAGUUUCAGGGGUACAUGUGAAGGUUUGUUAUAUAGGUAAGCUCAUGUCACGUGGGUUUGUUUUACAGAUUACUUCAUCACCCAUAUAUUAAGCCUAGUACCGAAUAGUUCCUUUUUCUGCUCCUCUCCCUCCUUCAACCCUCCAUGCUCAAACAGACCCCAGUGUCUGUUGUUCCCUUUAUGUUCAUGAGUUCUCAUCAUUUAUCUCUCACUUAUAAGUGAGAACAUGUAGUAUUUGGUUUUCUGUUCCUCUGUUACUUUGCUAAGGCAAAUAGCCUCCAGCUCUGUCCAUGUUCCCACAAAAAGACAUGAUCUCGUUGUUGUUUUUUUUAUAGCUGCGUCAUAUUCCAUGGUGUAUAUCUACCACAUUUUCUUUAUCCAAUCUGUCACUGAUGAGCAUUUAGGUUGAUUCUGUAUUUUUGCUGUUGUGAAUCAUGCUUAAAUAGACAUUCGUGACCGGGCGCAGCGGCUCACACCUAUAAUCCCAGCGGCUCCCUUGCAGCUGAGUUGGCCAUAUGACUGACAGCAAGCCCUGGAAUGCAGCCAGAAGUGAUAGAAGCCUCUUUCACACCAUGCUCCUAAAAUAUUCCAAGAAAUUUUCCAAACCUACUCUUUUUAGUCUGUGCAUCUGGAAGUGAAAGUUUUAGAAAGGGUAAAGUCACUUAAUGGAAAGGGCCCAGAUCUAGCCCCUCGGAGCCAAGCUGUCCAACUAGAAAUUCUGCAUUAGUAUUUGCGACCCCAGUAAAAAAAAAAAAGUCCCACAAAGAUGUAGGAUCUCACUUUGCCUGCGUUAAUUCCCUGUCCUUUGCCCAGUUUCUCCUCUCUUGGAAGGCAGAGGCAGCUUCUGAUUUUGAUCACUUCAUGUCCAGUGAGCUCAAGUGUUGCAAGUAUCUGCUUAAAAUGCCAUGUGAUGCUAAUCAUCUCUGCACGAGCAGUUCAUCUCAUCUCUCCAGUAAAUUGCUUAUCACAGUAAAAGUAGGACCUCCUGCUUCAGACUCUAAGCUUCCGGAGAACAGGAACUGCAUCUUUUCUAUUUCACAUACCCAACUCCUCACACAAUGCAUGAUGCAAGUGGGAAUCUACAUAAAAUAUCUGAUGGAUAAAUGGAGUAGCACUGAUGCAUAUGAGACCCAGUGUUAACCAGAGGAAGCAAUCAACUCCAAGAUCAACUGCCAAGAUAAAAACCAGGACCAAGGAAAGCUUCUGAGAUAAAAUGAUUUUUAAGAUUAACGUAGUGGAUAUUUCCAAUUGUUUUUUUUAUACCCUUCAUCUG